rnacentral:lncRNA from 1 species
GGCCACGGGACCAUGGCCGGACACCGGCGCUCCCGAUGGACACCGGGAUCCUCCUGAGGGAGCUGAGCCACAGCACCCACCCGGCUCCAGGAAUGCAGUCAGGGAGGCAUGGAUGGAGUGGUUUGGGUGGGAAAGGACCCCAGAGCCCCCCAGUGCCAGCCCCAGUGUCCAGCCUGGCCCUGGGCACUGCCAGGAUCCAGGGGCAGCCCCAGCUGCUCUGGCAAUCCCAGCCCAGCCAGGAAUUCCUCAUUCCCAAUCUCCCAUCCAUGGCUGCCCUCUGGCAGUGGGAGCCAUUCCCUGGGUCCUGUCCCCCCAUCCUUGUCCCCAGCCCCUCUGCAGCUCUCCUGGAGCCCCUCCUGGACCUCCUCUCCCCAGCCAGGUGUCAGUGUCACCUGGCUGCUCUUGUAGAGCCCCAGAGGAGAUGGGAUCCAAAGGGACCUUCGGAGGUCACCUGGGAUCCCUUAAAGCAGCUCCUGGGCCCUCACAGCUUCCAGUUUUCCUGGAGAGCUCCUCCAAAGGGACCCGUGGCUCCUGCCCCGUGUGGGUGGUUGUUGGAGGGGCUGUGGGGCCGUGUCCCCCAGGGGUUUAUGGAAACCCUCCUGCUGCAGCCGUGGCCGUGUCCCGCUGCCAGGAGCGCUCGGGGCCGGCAGCGCUUUCCUGCGCCGAGCUCUCGGAAGCAGGCGGGGCUUUUUAAAUUUAAUUACUUCCUCUUCUGCCCUAAUGUUUCCAAAGAUAAACACAGCUCUCCCUCGGAACGGGGUCAGGGAACAGCCGGGCUCUAGCCAGGCUGUGCCGAGCCCGCUCCCAGCCCCAGCUCUGGGUGGAGGUGGUGGAGAUCUCCCAGGAUCUGCCUCUGCCAGGACAGCCGUGAUUCCGUGCUGGGCUGCUCCCUCUUCACCCACCACUCCUGGAUCCUGGGAUCUUCCCUGGCCCCUGGGUGCCAUCCCAAAAGUGCUGGGUGUGGGCAGGAUCCAAGUGGAUCUUCCUGCAGGAUCUGGGAGAGCAGAGAGCCCCACGUUCCACAGGCUCCUGGGGUUUUCCAGCCGCGCUCCGUGCCAAGGGUUUGCCAGCGUUCCUGAUCCCUGGGAGUCUGUGCCUGGCAGGGUGCCUGGC